GCCCGCUUGGCUAAGUGGUAUAGCGUGUCACUAGUACCUCGAAGUAAUUCGCGUUCUAGCUAGAUGCCAUGACAAGAUCAGCGGUUCGAUUCCGCUAGUGGGCA